CCCGGGCGCAGCGCGUGGACACGGGGCCGGGGGCGCUGACCAAAGAUGUCCUCGGAUGCCGGCCCGGUGUCCUUCGCCCUCCUCCUCCCGGAGUGGCGCAGUGAGGCGCGGGCACGGCGCCCCAGCCAGCGGCCGCAGGUGAGGCGGGGGCGGCAGCAGUCCCAGCCCUCCCCGAGGACCCCCCUCUUACCUCGUCUUGGGUCGCCGGCGUCCACGGAGAAGGGCGCCCACCCGGGAGGCGGCGGCGGUAGCGGUGGCUCCCGCCCCUCCCACCCCACCCGGCGGCGGCGGCGGCGGCGGUGGUGGUGGUGGCGCUGGCGGUGAGGCCCCCCCUCAGCGCGGCAUGGCUCCCAGCUCGGUCUCCCGCUCCUCAGCCGCCGCUGGCUCCUCUGGGCAGCUCCCGAGCCACCUUAAAAUGACACACGCACACAGAGACACACACACAAAAACUUAAUCUCUCCAGCUCCGCGCCCCACCCCCUCCCGCCCUCCCCUCUCUUCCUUUCCCUUCCCUUCCCUCCCUUCCUUCCCUUCCCGUCCUCCUCCUCCCGUCGCCGCCGAGCCUCUUCCUACUUCCCCACCCACCCCACCCCCUUCCCCCGCCCACCGGCUCCCGAUCCCCCCCCCAUCCCGGCCGCGCGCCCUCUCGCCAGCCCUGAGGCCAGGCGGGGGCUGCGCUGGGGGUCCCCGGCCCGAGCCCGCGCCGCACCGCGCUCACCCCCCAGAGGAUGCUGGCUGCAACUUGGAUCUGGGGAGGGAAGGUCCUAGAAGCCAAGCGCCUCCCGGCUAUUUGCUCUUCUUUAUUUGUUUUCUCCUCCCGGAAAGGAGGAGGAAAGCGCAGAGAAAAGGAAAGGGAAGGACGGAAGCGGCGCGGGCCGCUGCUCCGGUGCCCUCCGGCUGCGCAGGAGCGAGGCGGGAGGCGAGAUACUUCUCACUACAAAUCGGCUCUCUCCAGGGAUUAGCGGCUACGCGAAAGUGCAUACUGGCGCUGCGGGCAAUCGAGGGGGCCGGGCAAGGCAGGCACUCCCCAGCCCAGCCCCAUGCCACCCGGGAGGCGCGGGGGUCCCGAGGCCGGUGCGGUGAUUCCACCCGCCCUAGCCUUCCUCCUCCGCCCCUUCCACGUGGGGCCCGCCACGUGGGGAGACGCGAGCUCCAGCGGGCCUGGCCGCGGUCCCCCGGGUGGCCCCGGCUCGGUAGGGCCCCACCACGCCCGCGCAGCAGACCUGCCCUCUACUCGGCCCCGAGGCUCCAACUUCCUCCUGGGCCCUGCGCAGGCCACCGGUGCCGUCCCAGGCCCGCGAGGUCAGGCGCGGGCCGGCCACAGGGGGCACUUGCGUUCCCCGAUCCCAGAUCCGGGAGACCGUGCCGGCUGCGGGUGCGCGCGGAGACUGUUCUGUGUGCUGGAACUUGCCGCGGUGUGUUCGCUAUGAGAAGCCAAGUGUUUUUACAUAUUUUUUUAAAAAAAAUGUCUUUCUACUGUCUGUAUGUCGCUGGGGCUAUUUUGAAAGCCUUGCCUUGGGUCGGAUCCCCAGCAUGA
rnacentral:lncRNA from 1 species